rnacentral:rRNA from 1 species
GAUGAACGCUAGCGGCAGGCUUAACACAUGCAAGUCGAGGGGUAGAAGUUGCUUGCAACUUUGAGACCGGCGCACGGGUGCGUAACGCGUAUGCAACCUACCUUUUACAGAGGGAUAGCCCAGAGAAAUUUGGAUUAAUACCUCAUAGUAUAUAAUCUUCGCAUGUUGGUUAUAUUAAAGUUCCAACGGUAAAAGAUGGGCAUGCGUCCUAUUAGCUAGUUGGUGUGGUAACGGCACACCAAGGCGACGAUAGGUAGGGGUCCUGAGAGGGAGAUCCCCCACACUGGUACUGAGACACGGACCAGACUCCUACGGGAGGCAGCAGUGAGGAAUAUUGGACAAUGGGCGCAAGCCUGAUCCAGCCAUGCCGCGUGCAGGAAGAAGCAUCUAUGGUGUGUAAACUGCUUUUGUACAGGAAGAAACACCCCUUCGUGAAGGGACUUGACGGUACUGUAAGAAUAAGGAUCGGCUAACUCUGUGCCAGCAGCCGCAGUAAAAC